GAUGAACGCUGGCGGCGUGCCUAAUACAUGCAAGUCGAGCGAACAGACGAGGAGCUUGCUCCUCUGACGUUAGCGGCGGACGGGUGAGUAACACGUGGAUAACCUACCUAUAAGACUGGGAUAACUUCGGGAAACCGGAGCUAAUACCGUAUAAUAUAUUGAACCGCAUGGUUCAAUAGUGAAAGACGGUUUUGCUGUCACUUAUAGAUGGAUCCGCGCCGCAUUAGCUAGUUGGUAAGGUAACGGCUUACCAAGGCAACGAUGCGUAGCCGACCUGAGAGGGUGAUCGGCCAGCCUGGAACUGAGACACGGCCCAGACUCAUACGGGAGGCAGCAGGAGGGAAUCUUCAGCAAUGGGCGAAAGCCUGACGGAGAAACGCCGCGGGAGUGAUGAAGGUCUUCGGAUCGUAAAACUCGGUUAUUAGGGAAGAACAAAUGUGUAAGUAACUAUGCACGUCUUGACGGUACCUAAGCAGAAAGCCACGGCUAAAUACGUG
rnacentral:rRNA from 1 species